UGGGUAGGGGAGCGUUCUGUAAGCCUGCGAAGGUGGCCUGUGAGGGUUGCUGGAGGUAUCAGAAGUGCGAAUGCUGACAUAAGUAACGAUAAAGCGGGUGAAAAGCCCGCUCGCCGGAAGACCAAGGGUUCCUGUCCAACGUUAAUCGGGGCAGGGUGAGUCGACCCCUAAGGCGAGGCCGAAAGGCGUAGUCGAUGGGAAACAGGUUAAUAUUCCUGUACUUGGUGUUACUGCGAAGGGGGGACGGAGAAGGCUAUGUUAGCCGGGCGACGGUUGUCCCGGUUUAAGCAUGUAGGCGGAGGUUCCAGGUAAAUCCGGUACCUUUUAACGCUGAGGUGUGAUGACGAGGCACUACGGUGCUGAAGUAACAAAUGCCCUGCUUCCAGGAAAAGCCUCUAAGCAUCAGGUAACAUUAAAUCGUACCCCAAACCGACACAGGUGGUCAGGUAGAGAAUACCAAGGCGCUUGAGAGAACUCGGGUGAAGGAACUAGGCAAAAUGGUGCCGUAACUUCGGGAGAAGGCACGCUGGUGUGUAGGUGAAGUCCCUGCGGAUGGAGCUGAGACCAGUCGAAGAUACCAGCUGGCUGCAACUGUUUAUUAAAAACACAGCACUGUGCAAACACGAAAGUGGACGUAUACGGUGUGACGCCUGCCCGGUGCCGGAAGGUUAAUUGAUGUG
rnacentral:rRNA from 1 species